rnacentral:lncRNA from 1 species
AUUUAUUUGAAUAGAAAGUUUUUUAGUUUGUUGUGGAACUAGACUAGAAAUUACCUAAUAAGCUUCUUAUAACUUGUGUAAUGUGUUUCUUUUACAAAUUUGUAUAUUGGUAUAAUCAUAUCAUGCUAUUCCUUCAAUAUUAUAACUAACACUGACUCUCAUAAGUUUGAGUCUUAAGUUACGAAAAAGGGCCAACUCUCACGUAAUGGCUGAAAGUUAGCAAAAUAUGUUAAGGACUUAAUUCAGAGAUAAUGUUGCUAAACGAUUUACAGUCGAUAAUCUUUCAAAAGCAGAAAAACUCAGUGUCAAACAAAGAAUACACGAAUUAUUUGAGAUAUGAUUGAAAUUUGCAAAGAAAAUAAAAAUCAAACUAGUUUCAUUCUAAGUUAUUGUAUAUAAUUUUAAAAUUUUGGAAUAGAAG